rnacentral:lncRNA from 1 species
UUUGUAAACGAGCCUGGACAUCCAACUAGGGUUUUGCUGAGGAGGAUCUCUGGAUCUUGGAGCGGGGCGGUCGUACGGCGUCUUGACGGCGAAUCUCCGGCGAGGUCGAACAAUCUUGCCUCCGGAUUGAGGCUGACGUGGUCCGGCGUCGGAAUCCAUGGGAGAAGUCAGAAGGGAGAAAGUGAGAGAGUUCGUUGAUGUUUUUUCUAGUUAUUUGUCGUCUUCUUGUUCUCCUCCCUCUAUAUUUUUUUUUUAUCUGUUUUUUCUCACCCCAGUUUUGUUUCCUAAUUAACAGGGCUGCGGUUAGAAUUACUAAUCAUUUUUUUAAAUGAAAUUCAUGUUUGUUUUCCACAUUAAGGCCAAUUAUAUCUUGAUCCGCCCCCGCACGGCUGUUAGAUUUAAUUUGCGUUCAAUGUAAAUUUAUAAACCAUUAAUUUUAUAAAAUAUCCAUUUAUAUUUUUAUGUUUUGUAAAAUGUAUUUAGUGUAAAAUAUAUUAUAUUAUAAUAUAGACUAGAGCUUGACCCGCACAUCCGUGCGGGUUUUAUUUUUAUCUUUUUAUAAUUUUUUUAGUGAUAUUCUUAAAACAUAUAAGUUAUUUAGAUAUUUUUAGGUUCCUACAAACUUACCCGGAUCCGGAAGAAUCCAAACUGAACCAUGUUCGAAAAUUUAUAAUACCCGAACAUAGUUUAACUUUAAAUCAAAAAAACUCGAUAUCCAUAAAUAUUGAUAUGUAUCUGAACGAAUACAUGAAUGACCAUGUCUAAAUGAUCUAGUAAACAAAUAAAAAUAAAUUUGUUAACCGGUUUGACUUCUUGUCACUAAAGGAGUAAUUUCAUUUUGACACGUGAAAUUAUUAUGGUUAAUACGUAAAAUAAAUGACAUUGAAUUAUAAUGGUAAAUAAAAUUAAUGAAGUAAUUUUGAAAAGUAAAAAAAAAGAAUGUGAAAACGUGAUAAGAUCUUGUGCUUAUUCCAUAAAUGUUUAUCUAAGUUUUUAUGUUUGUUCUUUUAUUAUAGACGUAAAUCAAAGAUUUUCUGCUUGUUUUAAUAUUCUGGAUUCUAAAUUAAUGUAGUUCCUUUAUUAUAGUCGUGGAAAUCACAUUUAGGAAAACAAUAUAGUUCGUUUGAGUUAUUAAUAAUUUGUUUCCUUGUUUGUAGUUCGUUUGAGUUAUUUUAGGAAAACAAUGAAUAUGUAGAAAAAACAAUCAUUUUUAAUGUGAGAUUAAUUUAAUUCUUAAUGGCAUUUGGCUGUAAAUAUUGUGUAACUUUUAGGGUUAUUCUAUAAGUGUACUUUUGUUUUAAUAUAUUAGAUGUUUGAUAUUUUUUUAUCUGUACGUAAUAUUAUAUUUAUAAUUUUAUAACUUGAUGCAAUUUGAUGUAAUUGUAAUAUUCAUAUAUUAACCUAUUGAUUUUUUUGUUUAUUUAUUUAAAAAUGAUUUAAUUUUUUAGAGUAGGUUUUAUGAAUUGUUAUUAAUUUUAUGAUAUUUGGUUUUCUUGAAAAUUGUAUUGUAGCAGAUUAAUAUAUACUAUAUAUUACAAUUUGUAUUUUUUAUUUUCAGCAAAAAAAAUAACAGUUCAUUGUAAUUAAUUAAUUUAAAUUUUUGAUUUUAAGUGAAUUGACAGAUUUGUAAUUAAAAAUGAAAUACAAUUGCUAAAUGUGUAAAUAAAAAAAAAUAUUUAAUCUACUAUACGUGUUUCCAUAAUCUGUAAAUGAGAAAGAAAUACAGUAACUAAAUAUGUAAAUAAAAAAAAUAUUUAAUCUGCUAUCAUUGUUUCUAAACAACUUACAUUUAAUUUACUAUCUAAGUUUUCAAAUAGUAUCAAAAGAUACUUCAGUUUUAAUAAUAUAGAUUGAUGACAAUAUUUUAGGAAAAAAAAAAUAUUAUGGUCAAUUAUUUGUUUUUCAAAUUUUAUACUACCAAUUAGAUUAAAUUUUUGGUCAAGAUAGAUCUUACUCUAUUCUUUUAAAUUUUUCAUGAACGAACGAAAUUUUUGAAAAAAAAUCUACUCUUCUAUUUUUUUUAUGAAGAAUAAAAUGAACAACUUUUUUUCGUUUAUUUAAUUUCUUAAAUGAAUUUCUGUUUAUUAUUUUUUUUGGUAUUGGAUAUUGGAUAAACCUGCUGUUCAUUUAUUCAACGGGCUUUAACACUUUAAGCCCAAUAACAACAAAACCUUAGGCCCACUAGAAACUUACCAGCUUUUCCCCAUAACAUCAUCAAAACGAAACGAGCAAAACCAUUUGGAAUCGAUUGAUCUGUUCAUUUCUCUUCUUUCGCUCAUCGGAAUCGAUCGAGCUGGUGAGAGAUGCCGGGCUUAACAUGUAACGCGUGUAACAUGGAGUUCGAGAACGAAGCUGAACGAAAGCUCCAUUACAGCUCCGAUUGGCACCGUUACAAUCUCAAGCGCAAGGUCAUAUAUUUUUGUCGGUUUAUUAUUUGUUCGUCGGAAAAUUCUAUUCCGAUGGUUUUGCUUAAGAUAAAAAUGAAAGCUUCUGAGCAAAAAAAAUCAAAACUUUAUCAUUUCUUUUAUCGAAAUGGUUUCACUUUAUCAUUGUUCUUGAUGUUGAGGUUUUGGAUACGUUUAGGUAGCUGGAGUUCCCGGGGUUACGGAAGAGUUGUUUGAGGCGAGACAAUCUGCUCUUGCUCUGGAGAAAGGCAAAUCAGAUGAAGCGCCUAUGCUUUACACCUGCGGAGCUUGUGGUAAAGGCUACAGGAGCUCCAAGGCUCAUGAGCAGCAUCUCAAGUCACGGAGCCACGUUUUGCGUGUUUCGCAGGGGGAAACAAGCAACGGUGAUGAGGAUGUAGCGAUAGUCACGCCGCUUACUCGCCGUUUCAAGAAUAAAGAGAAUGAGGAGAGUGAUGAUGAGUGGGUGGAGGCUGAUUCAGAUGAGGAAAUGGCUGCUGAUGCUGAGGAAGAGGCCUCGGAGGCUUUGUCUAAGUUGAAUGUGAAUGAGUCAGGAGCUGGUGAGGAUGAUAUGGAUGAAGAUGAUGCUUAUGAGCUGGAUCCAACCUGUUGUUUGAUGUGUGACAAGAAGCAUAAGACUUUAGAGAUCUGUAUGGUUCACAUGCAUAAGCACCAUGGCUUCUUCGUUCCGGAUGUUGAGUAUCUAAAAGAUCCUGAAGGGCUUCUCACUUACCUCGGUCUUAAGGUUCGGACUCUCAUCCGUUUAGCAUUCUUGUAAAGCUUUUGGACUUUUUGAAACUCCUAUUUACUCUUUAUACCAUGGAUCAUCACUCAGGUCAAGAGAGACUACAUGUGUCUCUACUGCAGCGAGCUCUGCCAUGCAUUCAGCAGCUUAGAGGCUGUAAGAAAGCAUAUGGAAGCAAAGAGUCAUUGCAAAUUGCAUUAUGGUGAUGGUGAUGGUGAUGAUGAGGAAGAUGCUGAACUAGAAGAGUUCUACGACUACAGCAGCAGGUUUCUACUAGUAUCUUAUUAUUCUUGUAUUCCUCUUUUUGUGCCAAAUCUUAAUACAUUAUCUAUCAUAUUUGAGCAGUUAUGUUGAUGAAACUGGAGACCAGAUAGUUGUAGCUGGUGAAACAGACAACGCUGUAGAACUCGUUGGUGGUUCUGAGCUCGUGAUCACCGAGAGAUCUGAGAACACAACAACGUCUAGGACUCUGGGGUCACGUGAAUUCAUGCGUUACUAUAGACAGAAGCCGCGCCCAAGUUCUCAAAACAGUAACCAGAUUGUUGCCUCUCUGUCUUCAAGGUUUGUCUCUCAAACCGUUCGAUCAUUCAACCUAUUAAACUAGAGAAUCAUCAAGUUAAUCUUAACUAAGGUUAUUUUCCAUAAUUGGUUAAUGCUCAGGUACAAGAGCCUUGGUCUGAAGACAGUGCCAUCGAAAGAGGAUAGAGUGAAGAUGAAAGCGCUCAAGGAGAUGAACAAGAGAGGCGAGACAAUGCGUACCAAGAUGGCAAUGAAGAGUAACGUCAUAAGAAACUUGCCCAACAAUGUUCCUUAUUAGCUCUCUGAGCUUGUCCUUUUGAAUUGUGCGACUGUUCCAUGUACUUUGACAAAGUUGUGUUUGUGAUAAUAAGACUGAGCUUUAAAAACAUAACUAAUAAACAUGUUCAGUAAAAUAGUAAAUGUUAAACAUUGCUGCAGCAACCAAACAAUGUAUUCAAUCAAGUAAAAUACAAGGGAAGAAAGAAAAGAUUAAACCUCCAAGUUCGUUCUUGCUAUAGAGACACAUAGUGUAAAGGGUGCGUGAUACCUGAUUUGGUAGGACCACGCUUUGCUCAAUCUGUAUAGCUGAAAAAAAAAACAGAAACAAAAAGAGUUACUACAUGUAAACCAGAGCAGAAACUACUUUCAGCUUUAUCUCAUGUUGCCAUAUACUGAAAAACACUUAUUUACACAUGAGAAUAAAAAGGAAAAAAAAACACCUUGAGCACCUCCAUCAACAUUCAAUGAUGCUACACUACGAGGGGAUACAGUUUUAAGCAUUUCCUCUGUUGCUUUAGCUCUGACUUUGCGAAUUUCAUCUUGAAUAUUCCAUGUAGGAUUCGAACGGGAUCUCCUUCUCAGCUGCAUUUUGGUAUCCAAAAUCAGAAUGCAUAUGCAUAACUUUGAGAGGAGUCAUAAGACAUACAUAACGGUAUGCAACUUCUUCUUUUUUUGAAAACUGGACAAAGAAAAAACUCAAGACUUUCAAACAAUGUUUUGACCAGAAGAUGAGUAUGCACUGCACCUUGGAAGAGGAGAAGUUUCCAGCACUGUAAGGAAACGGCGUCCCUUCCUUAAUAAGUUGCAUCCCUGCUGGUGAUGGUGAGCGAAACUCUGAAGUGUUCGCAGCUGGAGAUCCCCAUGGCAGACGAGCUCUCAUAUAUGACUUGGCCACAUCCACAGGCGAUCCACCACCAUCUUCAGUUGCCUGGAAGUUGAAAAUAAAAACUGAGGUGGUUAUCAUUGUCUAAAGCACAUUGGAGAAGAAACUAUAAAUGGUGGAAUUGGUCAAGAAAAACUAUCAGAAGAUGAUUUUUUUUUUUUUUUUUGUGAGCACAUGAUAAUACUUAAAACUACUCUAGCUAGAGAGAUCUGAACUUACUAUAGACUUUGAACUUGAUGCUGAUUUCUUCUCCUCCAACCAUCUUUUUGCUUCCAUGACAGCUUUAUUAGACAUUUCACCCACAUCCACCUCUGAGAAAGAAAAAAAGCGAGAAAAUGUUAUCACAUAGACUAAUCUCGUCUGCUUGCACAAGAUUAGUUACAUACCAUUAUCACUAUGCCUCCCCUCAUUAGGAGUGGGGACACUGGGAUGAUCUACAACCCUCGCCUUGAUGAUAUCUAUUAAUCUAUCGCCUUCUUCCCUGGAACAACAUACAAAUCAACAGCUUAACAAGCUCCUCAUGAAAAAAUAUUACAGAUUUAUUUUCAACUAUAUGUCUAGACACUUGUAAAUACCUUGCAAAUGUUUCUUGCAUGAUAAGCUGCUCAAUUACACGCUUAGAACCGAGUCUUUGGAUGGUUGAUUCCUGAAGGUCAUAUUAACACAAGAACACAUCAUAAUCGCUUCACAUAAACUGAAAUAAGACUUCCAUCAAAAAUUACAAAGUUGAAAAAGUCAACUUUGUGUACUUCUACAAAACAAUCAAACUGGUGAAAAGGUAGACUCAGCACAAAACCAUAUCGAAAAUUUUCAAACUAGAGAACCUUUGGUAACACCAUACACUAGGCCAAUAUAGCUUGAAUCAGUUCUGUGAAGAAUGAACUUGGAGAUUACAGGCCAAGGGUCUCUAAGUAAAUUUAAAACAAGGCAUAGCAUAAUCACACAAAACGAGUAAGGUGGUUAGUACCUCAACCAUUGUUUCAUCUUCGAGAACAUCCUCAUCAUCACCUUCAAUAUCAGAAAACAAAUGAAACCUACUUCAAAAGAGUAUAAGGAAGAAACAAGCAGGAUGAUGGGUGGAACAUAGUUAAACCCGUAUAUGAAAAAAAAAACAUUAGAGCUUGAGAACUUAUACAAUGAUUCACUGCAAUUAAGUGACAUUAAUGAAGGAAAUAGAAAAAAAAGGUGGAAGCUUUAAAUCAAAUUCACAUUUCAAAGAAAAAGGGUUGGUUUCAGAUUCCGAGUUUCCGACCAAACAAAAAAACCGAAAUUUCCAAACUAAUCUUGUCUGAAUCUAACGAAAGUAUUCAUUUUUUUUUGCUUAACCGAAUGAAUUAAGGCAACACAUAUAUAUACCUGAAGAUGAAUCCUCGUCCUCGGAAGAAGAUGAGGAAGAUUCAGAGAAGACGACGGAAGAAAUGAAUUUCCCGGCGCCGGAGGCAAUCACGGUGACAGGUUUGUAAACGAGCCUGGACAUCCAACUAGGGUUUUGCUGAGGAGGAUCUCUGGAUCUUGGAGCGGGGCGGUCGUACGGCGUCUUGACGGCGAAUCUCCGGCGAGGUCGAACAAUCUUGCCUCCGGAUUGAGGCUGACGUGGUCCGGCGUCGGAAUCCAUGGGAGAAGUCAGAAGGGAGAAAGUGAGAGAGUUCGUUGAUGUUUUUUCUAGUUAUUUGUCGUCUUCUU